GCGUCUCUUUGUCUUGUAUUCUUGUUCUCUGAUUACCUGAUCUUCGACCUCAAGCCUGUUUUUUCAGACCAUGAUUUUUGCCUUACGGAUUUGUACUGUCGCCUGUAUUUGUGUUUUUCUAGUUUGACUAGUAAAACCUUUUUGAACCAGAGUCUGCAUUGAACACGCAUCAGCUGCUGGAGUGAGUUGCAGUCAGGCGUCUCCAUCGUGGCCUCAAGUGUUGACGGCCCCUUACAACAUAUCCCCUCUCUCAGGUGCCAGGUGUCAACUUUCAUUGCGAGGUGUUGUUCCCUGGGUGACGGAAAAUUUUGUGCUGAACUGACUGCAGCAGCGGUGCAGCUUUUAAUAAACAGGAAAGUCCUGCAGGGGAGGACAAAGCCUUCCCCCUUCUCGCUGAGCAUCUCUGCUCUGAUCUGUACUGAGAGACAUGGCUGACAGGUCACUGUGUUCAUUAAGAGAAACAGGAGGAUGGGGGCUGCUGCAGGAAAGUAUUUGAAAGUCCAUUAUUGUGUCCCCUGGAUGCCGAAGUAGCAGCUUUCCUGACACCGUGGUGCUUUGUGGAAAAUGUCAGCUAUCACUCAAACAGGUUAAAAUGAAGCAGAGUGGUUAUUUGCAAAUGUCAUCCCAUGCAUACGUGGUCACACACUGCUUUCAUAUUUUCAGUAACCCUUUAAUCCUCUCUUAUUCUUAGGAACAUAUUUUAAGUUUUGAUGCAUUGUUCGAAAAUGAGGCGUGCUCAAAAGUUUUAGUAUUUCUUAGUAGGGUUGUAUCAGAUACUUAUUCGUGCGUGCUCAGUGGAUCUACAGUAGACGGCGGUCUCAGUGCUGUGGACAGGGUGAGCCACAUUAAAACAACAACCGAAAAAAAAUCAAUAUUCAUUUCAGCAAACGCUACAUUAAGAAUAUUUUCAUCGCUUUACCUUGCCUUCAGACUGUACUAUAAUGUAACACCACGAACUGUUUGAUUUAGAAAGUUGUGACUGAAAUCAAACGUCAAGAUUUAAAAAAAUGUUGUGUGUUUUCCUGCUGGUGGCGCCGAUCUAUGACCUGAUGCAACGUGUGGCACAUGUGAGUCAUGUGGGUAAGCGUACACGCAGAGACGGGCCUUUGUUAUGCAGCUGAAAUCCAUUUUUCUGCUGACCCUGUCCACAGCAGUAAAAUGUUUCUGUCCCUGUCUGCUUCUGCAAACUCGGGCAUGCUGACUGAUAGCUGAACUAUUGCUUUAAGUGAACACAUUAUUUGUCCAUGACACAUGGAAUAAAAAUAAAAAAACAGUGUGUUCG